UACGUAGGGGUGCAAGCGUUAAUCGGAAUUACUGGGCGUAAAGCGUGCGCAGGCGGUUGUGCAAGACAGAUGUGAAAAUCCCCGGGCUUACCUGGAACUGCAUUUGUGACUGCACGGCUAGAGUGUGUCAGAGGGGGGUAGAAUUCCACGUGUGAGCAGUGAAAUGCGUAGAGAUGUGGGAGGAAUACCGAUGGCGAAGGCAGCCCCCUGGGUCAAGACUGACGCUCUGCACGAAAGCGUGGGGAGCAAACAGG
rnacentral:rRNA from 1 species